rnacentral:lncRNA from 1 species
AAACUCUACUUAUGGGGUAAACUUUUCCACUAAAAAUCGUUGGAUUUAUUCCGACACCGGCUAAUCGUCACGCGCGACGACCGCACGAAUGAAUGACUUCUCAGAUCGUGAACUGUACAAGAGAUCUACAUCAAAACACGGAUCAGCUCCAAACACGAUAAAAUACUGUUCCAACGCAACCCAGCAUCCGCUGAGCACGACACAGUUCUCCAGCGCUGAGAAAAUCACGCGCAUCUUCGUUCGAACCACCCACAGCCCAGAAACUUUCAACCGUGGUGACGACCACACAAUGGUUGGGAAGAGAUGGAGAGAUAAGUCCGGAUACUUCACAUCGGGAGGAAUCGACUGCGCUUCUGCCCC